UUGAACAACUUAAAGAGCUCCUUUCCGCCUGUUAAUUGUCUAAAAGACAGAACAAUUACAUAAGGAUUUAAAGUAACAUUCCAGAACUAGUACAACAAUAACUACACCUCAAUUCAAAACUAGUUGGGAUUAUCUAUAGGAAUCAUCCGUAUCCAUUCGGCAAUAUCCAGAAACAACAACAACAACAACAUACCCGGUGUAAUCCCACAAGUGGGGUCCAGGGAGGAUAAGACGUAUGUAGAGUAACUGCUACCUUUGUGGGGUAGAGAGGUUGUUUUAAUGUUUUCGAUAGACCCUCAGCUCAGAAAACAUCGAUUAAUAAAUAUUUUGAUCUCAAAUUAAUAUCCAAACAGGCAGUAAUACAAGCUAAAAAACUUAAUCUUUCGAUGUAUCAGCUAAACAGAAAACUUGAUUGAACAAGCACACACACUCCCCACCCCCCAACGGACAGAGAUACCAACUUUCCUAAACAAAUUUAGGGAAAAAGGACUUCAAAUCUAGGUGAUAAAAUAUGGAAAAGGGCUGAUUAAAUUAUAGUGCACUCCAGUAUCCAUUUCUAUAUCAACAAAUAAUUGGGAAAAUGAACAAGAAAACAUCAUUUAUGAUAAAUGCAUAUCUCAUUUUUUUUUCUUUUCUCUUCAUUAUUAUAUGCAUGACUAAAGUAAAAGACCAAUCUUUAGCUUCUUCUUCACCUCCAUUAAACCCAGUUAAAUAUGUUGAAAACAAAAAAAAAAGUACCCCAAGAUGGUAUAACAGUUUUUUUCUUUUCAUUAGCGAAAAAAAAUAAAAUAAAACACUAUAUAUAAAGAAAUUAAAAACAGAAAGAAAAAAAAAAGAAGAAGAACAACUUGAUAAAAAUAAAAAAUGCCUGGCUCCAUCCUGUUUGCCUUUUAACCACGCAAAAUGAGAAACUUUUUUUCACAUUGAAACACCUACAUUGUCCUCCUCCAACACAACAACAACCACCAUCUUCAAUCUGUGAAAACUCACAAACAACCUUGGAUUUACAAAAGGUAGUAGUACUACCUCUUUCUUCAACAACAUAAGGGCACUUUCGUCACUCCACAUCAUCACCAUCCACUUCUUUUUCUUCCUUCUUACAAUGCCCAUUUUCACCUCAACAAUGCCCAAAAAAACAAAAAUCUUGAACACAAACAAAGAAUAAAAGAGAAAAUAAAUAAAGGGUAUUUAUUUUUUUCAGAUUUUUUUUUUACACUUACCCCUAACAACACUAUACUCAGCUAGUAAUAGUGUAGUAGUAUACUAGUACUAGUAUAUUCUGCAAACUGUUCUGGUUUUUCUGGAGGUCUAUAGAGAGAGAGAGAAAAUUUUUAUCAGAGAAAAAGUGUUUCAUUUUCUUGAUUGGUUAUGUCAAAUAAAAAAAAAAGAAAAUUUAGGGGGGUGGGGGUAAGGGGGUAUAUUGGGAUUUGGGAAUUUGGGAGAUGUUUGGGCCAAAUUAUUUGGAUUUGGAAGUUUUAUGGGUAAGGCCGGUGAAAGGCCAUUUUCAACUUUCUCUUUGUUUCUUAUUCUAGUAAGACUUCCUUAUUUGUCUUCUUCUUUUACCUUUUUACUACUUCUUUUAAAUUUAGUCAAUUAUUUCUUUGAAAUUAUGUACUAUGUCCAAAAAUAAUAGAGAAGGUAAUAAUAAAUAGAGAACAACUUCUUCAAUCCCAUCAUAUAAUUUUUUAUUAAAUAAAUUAUUUGUACUUGUUAAAUAAAAUACAGAGAUUAAACUAAAGAUAUUGAAUUUGAUCAAAUUCUUUGCUAAUAUUAUAGCUCCAACACUUAUCUCAUCACCUAAGGGGUUAUGGUGGAUAAAUAGGACUAUUGACCUUUAGUUUAUAUUUUUUUUACAAAAAAGAUGGUUUGGUGUGGUAAAUUUUUUGUUAUGCAUGAGAUUUAGAAAAAUAUUGAGUCAAGGUAUGUUGUAUGAAUCUCCAUCUCUAAUUAGAUGUUUCAAAUUUGAAUUAUGAAAACUCAAAAAUUCUUAACAGAAGUAUUUUUCCGUUACGGCCUUACAAAUAUCAUACAUUAGUUAGUGGCGAAGUUAGAAAUUUUUUAAGAGUUCAAGAAAUAAUAUAUACAUAUGAAAAAUAAUUUACUAUAUACUUUAUAUAAUUUUACAUAUAUACAAUAUAGAAUUAGAGUAAUUAAUUAGUAAGAAUUUUUUUAUUUUUUUUUUAUAAUAUUGUAAGAGUCAUGUAAGAAAAUGGGGUCUCUCAUCCAAGGAAAUGAGGAGAUCAACAAUGAUGUCUCACAACGUAUUGGUGCGGUAUAGAUGAAGUGGAGAUUUGCAUCCGCAAUCAUGUAUGACAAAAAGGUACCACGAAAACAUGGAUUAAAGUUUUAUAGAGUAGUAGUUAGACUGACGUCAAGACCUCCUAUGUUCAUAAGAUGCAAAUGACAACGGUGAAGAUGUGUAUACUAGGAGCGAUAGAACUAGGAAUAAGGAUAUUCAAGAUAAAGUGAAAGUAGCCUAGCUCUGUGAUGGACAAGACGAGGGAAGACAGACUGAAAUGGUUUGGGCAUGUGAAGAAAAGAUGUGUCAAUGUCUGGUGAAGAGGUGUGGGAGUCUGGAUAUAGUCGAACCGAUGAAAGGUAGAGCUAGACUGUAAAAGUAUAGGAAUAAGGUGAUUAGACAAAAUAUGAUGCAUCAUGAUCAAUUUAUCAUAGGCAUAACCUUAAAUAUGAAAAUGUGGAGGUCGCAAUUAAAAUUAGAUGGUCAGUAGGUAGUUAAACAUAGUCUUAGUAUUACCUAUGCAUGUCUUUGGCUUGAUGAUAGUGUGGUGCACCCAUGUCUGGCGUAGCAUUAACCUUCUUCAUAAGUCCUUGGCUUUUGAAAUACUGUGUCAUAUGUUAUUUAUUAUAUUUAGACGAUCAUACCUAUUAAUAUUACGGUUUCUUGCAUAUUUUUUUUAUAUAGCUUUGCCAUAUAUUAUUUUGAUUUGCUUCACUAAAGGCGAAGAUCUUUCAAAAAUAUUAUCUCUAUCUCUAUGAUGUAGCGAUAAAAUCUGCCUCAAAUUUCAUCACUUUAUAAGAUUAUAUUGAAUAUAUUAUUCUUAUUAUUAUAAAAAUCACGUAUAGAGAAGAGUGAACAAGUAAUAUAAGACAUGAUAAUAUAGAACAAAGGGAGUAAUAAUUUUCUAUUUAUUUUUUUUGGAGUUGAUACAAAAGUCAAAAAGACAUUAACCUAAGGUGCGACAAGUUUGACAAGAGAAAGUGGUGUUUAGUUAGUUAAAAUAUGGAAAAAGGCCUAAAAUGUCCUUCAACUAUUUAAAAUGGUGUAAAAAUGUCCUCUGUCUAUAUAUUGAACCUAAAAUGCCUUUCAAUUAUCUAAAAUGGUGCAAAAAUACCCUCUCCGUCUACCUAUAGGGCCUAAUUUGCCCUUUUAUUUAACAGAUUAAGUUAUUGAAGGGCAUUUUAGGCCCAAUAGGUAGAUGGAGGACAUUUUUGCACCAUUUUAGAUAGUUAAAUGACAUUUUAGGUCCUUUUUUGUUAUACUAUAUAAUUUUUUUUUUAUAAAAAUUUAAUAAAAAUAAACAAAAAUAAAAAUUAAAUUUUAAAAGCGACGAAAAACGUCGCUUUACAAAAAAUUAAUUUUCUUUUAGUUUUAAAAAAAGGACGUUGUCCGUCGCUUUUUUGUAAAAAUAAAGAAAAAUUAAAAAUAAUUACAAAUUGGAUGGACAGCGUUACUUUUCUAAAAUUAAUAUUUUUAAAAAUAAAAAUUAUAACGACGUUGUCCGUUGCUUUUAAUAAAAAUAAAAAAAAUAUAAAUUUAAUUUUAAAAGCGACGGACAAUGUCGCUUUACAAAAAAUUAUUUUCUAUUAAUUUUUAACAAAACGACGCUGUCCGUCGCUUUUUGUAAAAAAUAAAAAAAAAUUAAAAAUAAUUACAAAUUACGAUGGACAACGGCGCUUUUCUAGAAUUAAUAUUCUAAAAAAUAAAAAUUAUAGCGACGUUGUCCGUCGCUUUUAAUAAAAAUAAACAAAAAUAAAAAUUAAAUUUAAAAAUCGACGGACUAUGUCGAUUUUCAAAAACUAAUUAUUAUUUGUAAAUAAAUUACGAUGCUAUCCGUAAACUAAUUAUUUGUAAACUAAUUAUGGAUGAAAGGGUAUUUAUAAUUUUUUUAAUAAAUGCGACGGAUAGCGUCCUAAUUUUAAUAGGGUAUUUCUAGAAAAAGUGACGUUAUCCAUCGUAAUUUGUAAUUAUUUUAAAUUUUUCUUUAUUUUUACAGAAAGCGACGGACAACGUCGCUCUUUUUAAAACUAAAUAAAAAUUAAUUUUUUGUAAAACGACGUUGUCCGUCGCUUUUUAAAUUUAUUUAUUUUUAUAAAAUUUUUAUAUAGUAUAUACGGAAAAGGGCCUAAAAUGUCUUUCAACUAUUUAAAAUGAUUCAAAAAUGCCCUUCAUCAACCUAUUGAGCCUAAAAUGCCCUUUAAUAACUUAAUCUGUUAAAUAAAAGGGCAAAUUAGGUCUUAUAGGCAGACAGAGAGGGUAUUUUUGAACCAUUUUAGAUAGUUGAAAGACAUUUUAGACCUAAUAGGUAGACGAAAAAUAUUUUUACACCAUCUUAAAUAAUUGAACGACAUUUUAGGCCCUUUUUCAUUUAAAAUAUAAUAAUAAUGGUGUGUAUAUAUAUAUACUAGUCGUAUAAAGAAACAAGAGAGGUCAUAAAUGAAGGAGCGUUAAUGUAGCAAGUUUGUCCAGGCACUGUCUGUCGUGUACUUUUGGUUUUGGUAAAGAAUAAUUGGUCAAUUUCAGCUUUCAUUUUGACAUUUCAAUUUAAACCCUUUCCCUUUCAUUUUCAAUUCAUUACAAGACUAUACGUUGUACUACGUACUCCUUCCCCCCUCGCCGCCCCCCCGCCCCACAACAGCUUUCAUCCGUUUACUAAAUUAAAUGUAUGUUUCUAUACAAAAUUAGUACUAUACCCCUAUCGAUGUAAACAAUUCAACAUUAAAUCACUAUAUAUAGUUUCCCUACUAAUUCUGCAACCCUACCUUUGCUUGGUUCAUUUGUUUUAUUAUAUCUAUUUUUUUUUUUUGCCUUAGGUAUUUGUACGGGUUUGUUAGGUAUAAGAAAAAUAUUUUUUUAGGAAAAUAAAUGAUUUUUUUUUAAUUUUGCGUUCGAUAUGUAAACAAGAGAUAUUAUCCUAAUAUCCUUAUUAAAACAUUUAUAUGCUCUUAGAUCAAACUAUCAGAGUUGCGGUUAGGGACAAGAGUGUGGAGUUGUAGGGAUGAGGAUAGAGAUCAUGAGAUGUGUUGGAGGAUGUGAAGGACGUGAUCAAUAUGAAAUGUGAUUUGUAAAAUUUGUUUUUCAUAUUUUCAUCGAGAAGUUGUUUUCCUCAUAUUGAAGUAACUUGUUUACUAGAAAAAAUAUUUUUAAAAUAUUGAUCAAUCGAACAUAAAAAAGAAGAAGAUAUUUCCUACCUCACAAACACGCCCUAAGAGUUAAGGUUUGUUAGCCGAUUUAGCCUUAUGUUGCGUAUAAAAAAUGAAAAUCUGAUAGGAAGCAUUUUAUAAGCCUCGGUGGUAAUACAUUGGAUGGAAUAUUAGAAAACGAAUAUUUAUGUUGGAUGAAUAAGUUUCGUUCACCUUUAAUUAGAAAGUUUGAAUUCAAAUUUAGAAAAAAUUCUUGUAAGGAGCACUUCCUUCUUUUAUUGUUGUGAAGUUGAACAACUAAGUUUAGACACAAAAUAGGUAUACACAUAAGGAAAUAAUUUUUUUGUUCAUUUUUUAUUUUUAUUUAACUUUACAUGUUAUUUUUUUUUACGUCACAUGAAGGUUUAAUUUGUAUUUUCAAGUAAAAUGCAUAUUUAAAAUCCUCGAGGCAUAACGUUUCCUCAAGUCUCGUAUUAAACUGGGAUACUUCAUGCAGUGAGUUUUUUUUAGAAAAAAAAAAUCAACUGAUUUCAAAAACUCAUUUUUUUCCAUAUUCAAGCAAAUGUAUGUGCAAAAGACUGCCUAAUUUAAUGGGUUCAAUAUAGUAGUAACAAUAUCUUUUAUAUAAAAAUAUAAAAAACUCUCUGCCAUGGCCGACCCCCAAGAUGCAGAGCCACCCCCAUUACCACCUACACCGCCCGAUCCACCCGACCCCAUGGAAAUUGAUGAUACAGACAAAGAUCCAAAUUAAGAACCCAUAGAGGGGAAAAGCUCCUUCCAGUCAAUACUCCUCAAUAAAGUGAAUUCACUCAAUGACAACUAUCGGUAUCAACACAACGGCAAAAUAACGCUAGUCACGGAAGAAAUCGAUGACACAAUUGUCUUAAGCGAUGAAGAUAAGAAUAGAAUCUACACUCCAUGGAGGUUCUCCAUAAUCAUUAAACUCUUCAAAAAGACCCUUGCCCAUGGCUACCUGAGAACAAAACUCCUAAAUUUAUGGAAGCCAUCGGAAUCCCUAAUAUUGGUGGAUCUGGGGAACGGGUACUAUAUUGCUAAAUUCACCAACCCAGAAAAUAUGCAAAUGGCCCUCCAUGGUGGACCAUGGUUCAUCACAGGGGAUUUCCUCUCAGUAAGGCAUUGGGAACCAAAAUUCACCCCAGAGGAGGCCAAGACUACCCACACUGCCAUAUGGGUGAGACUGCCUCACUUACCAACAGAAUUUUACGACAACUCCAUUCUGGAAAGGAUCGGCCACAAAUUAGGUACACUUCUCAAAAUUGACACAUGUACCUCAGCAGUCUUAAGAGGUUGGUACGCGAGGAUCUGCAUCCAAGUCCCAUUAGAUACCCCCGUGAAGACCCAUAUCACCAUUGAAAACCAUAGACAGAAGGUAGUGUAUGAGAGAGAAGGAGUCUUAUGCAUCGAAUGCGACAAAUUGGGGCACACACAUAAGAUUUUCCCCACUCAAGCUACCACUACCCAGAAUAAACAAGAUAAAGAUGGUGCAUCUACCAGCUCAUCAACAGUCCCCCACAAUGAAUGGCCAACCAUCAACUUCAAUAAGAGAAAAACUGGCAACAAAGCCCAACAAUCGCAGAAGACUACUGAGGAUCCAGAGAUAAUGAACACUACACAGGUAAAAGUAUACAAUGCUGCCUCAGGUAAGUUUCUCAACUUAAAUUCCUUUUCAACCAUUGAUGAAGGUACUGGUAUAAGAAAUAAAAGAGAUAACCAUGUGUUUAAUUCACCCAAAAACUUUAUUAAGGGGAAAAUAGAAAAAAAAACUGUUAUACAAAGCCAUAACAGUAACAAUAAUAAAAGAGGGAAACAUAGAUUCGCUGGGGUCCGCGCGGAACCCCCUAUUCCUUUUAAAAAUGUGCCAACUAACCCUCAAAAGGUCAAAGCUGCAAUUAAAACGGAUGUGCAUUUAUUGCUUAACUAACCAAAUCCCAUUACCCAAAAACCAUCCUCAUUCCAUUCCCAUCAAUACUAGCGGGGUCAGCCCCACCCCUUUGGGGGAUUUCUCCAUGAACUCCACUGUCUCUGCAGCUUCUGGGAGGAGCUACACCACCGAUAAUAGGGGUAAUCAUCACCCUACAAUGAUUGACAUGACCAAGGCAGUCAUGUCGAUUAAUCCCAACUCCACUAAUUCCACUCUUUUGAAGCCCCUAAACUUCUAUCAAGGGCAUUCAUUCCCUAAUCCCAUCAGUAAUGGCGUCUCCACCAAAUGACAACACCCCCUGAAAGAACCCUUAGUAUUUACCACAGCCCCAACACCACCAAAUCGAGCCCCGACAUCAUGGGCAGAACUAGCUUUGGAAGGGAAAACCAUCUCUCAUUACAUAAUCAUAGGAGACCAACCUAUAGUCCUCCUCAUCCAGGAUCCGACAUGGAUGACCCAGCUAGUGAAGGAGGAAGUGAACCAGAUAGUGGAGAAGCUAGGCUAUCAGGUGUGGUGCCAAACCCUGCUUCAAGCUCAAAUGAUGAGAACUCUCAACAUGAUGAUCUCAAGCGAAUUUAACUCGCUAAUGAGCCACAUGUUCAAGAGCCUUUCAUUCUACCCAACAGUCCCUUACCUACUGGAGACGAAAACCCUAAAUUUUGUACCAUGGAACCCCCUGGAGUAAAACCCCUCAGUACCACAUCCUCAUUCAACAAUGGGGGGCGCAUACCUCGGAGAAGCAACCAACUCAGCUCUAGAAUCUCUCAAAAGGUCAAACUUGGAAAUGGAAUAACUAUUAAUGGAUCUAGGGGAGCCGGAACUAGAAAACUUCGUUCUAGACAAACCACUUCUGAGAGAGUUCACAGAGCUCUCAGUCUCAACUAUUAUUAUUCUCUCUGCGACAGAAACACGGAUAUUGAGCUUGACACUGAGGAACACCAUGGACAAAAUCCCCUCUGCAGUAGCAUUGAUCCCUCGAUUGGAACUGAAACAGGCUACCAGAAAGACAAGGGAAAGAUGCCACUGAACCACUCCCCCCACUCCACUUGAUCACAUGAAAUUUAUUAUCUGGAACACAAGGGGGGCAAAGAGCUCCACUUUCAUUCGCCAAUGUGAUACCCUCAUCAAAACCCAUAAUCCUGACAUGGUUGCUCUACUAGAAACAAAAAUGGUUGAUCACAAACACAUCAGUAAACUUCUCCGUUUUGAUGAUUACUUGGAAUCCAGUGCGGUGGGAAAAAAGAAAGGUAUUGUCGUCAUGUGGAGGGAGGAGAAACUUCACCUCCAAUACUUCUUCUCAUCCCCUCAAAGAAUCCACGCUACUAUUAAGGUUAGUCCUAUCCCCAACACUUUUCUUUUCUCUGUUAUUUAUGCAAGCCCCGAGCUUAGCAUGCGUUUGAUGCUCUGGGAGGAGCUAAAGAACAUAACCAACGUCUACAUUGGCAAAUGGCUAAUGGGGAAGGAGGAUUUUAACGAGGUCCAAAUGGCCUUUGAGAAAUUAGGGGGAGCUCCUAUUAAUAGCAACAGAAUAAAUCAGUCUUGGGAUUGCCUAAAUUAUUGUAACAUGGUGGACCUUGGCUAUACAGGCUGUAAAUACAAUUGGACCAAUAAGAGGUACCGCAAUAGAGGAGCUCUUAUCCAAGAAAGGCUUGACAGAUGUCUUGCCAAUGCCUCCUGAAUAAACCAAUACCCUGAAACUGUAGCCCACUUACCUAGAACCAAGUCUGACCAUUGUCCCCUCCUCUUGUCACUUCUUAAAAAUAAUAACGCAUAAAAAAACAAACCCUUCAGGUUUGAAACCAUGUGGUGUAACCAUCAAUCUUUCCAACAUCUUAUGGAGGAAAGUUUUGAUGGACCCACCACUUUCCAGCAGUCAAUUAUCAAGUUUCACUCAAAUGUUUCUCACUGGAACGCCAAUGUUUUUGGUAACCUCUUUCAAAAGCUUAGGACUACCCUAGCUAGAUUGGAUGCUAUCCAAAAAUCACCUAACUACCAUACCAGAUCUUACCUCCACUUCCUUGAGGGAGAAUUGCUUGAGACCUAUGAUAGCCUUCUCAAAUAUGAGCAAGAUUUCUAAAAAACUAAGUUCAGAAUUUCUUGGUUCUCUGAUGGAGAUGCUAACACCUCCUUCUUCCAUACAUCCAUCAUCAACGGAAGAAGAAGAAAUAAAAUGAAUGAGCUCAUGGAUGGCCAAGGUAGCUUCAUCACAUGAGAAACUGCUAUCCAUGACCACAUUAUAAACCAUUUCCAGGACCUCUACAAGUCAGGCUAUCUCAGCAGCCCCAACAACCACUUUGUCCCUGAGAAUGACUUCACCACCAUCUCUCAAGCCAAUAUAGACCUCCUAGACUCCUCUCUAAAAGAGUCAGAGAUCCUACUAGCCAUCAAGUCCUUUAAACCACUCAAGGCCCCUAGGCCUGAUGGUCUCCACUCCAUGUUCUACAAAAAAUACUUGCAUCUGGUAGGACCUAAAACCAUUGACUUCUGCAAGCAAGCUUUCACCAAUAAUUCCAUUCCCCAUGCAUUCAAUGCCACCCUUCUGUGCCUCAUCCCAAAAUGCAGAAAUGCAAUGACCCUUAAGAACUUCAAACCUAUAGGUCUUUGCAACACCAGACCAUCUCCAAGAUCAUUAUCAAUAGGAUUAAACCCCUUCUUCCCUCCAUUAUUGGUCCUACACAAGCUAGCUUCUUAGCUAAUAGGAGAACCUCUGAUCAAGCUAUUAUCAUCCAGGAAUACAUUCAUUACUUUAAAAAAAUGAGAGGGAAAAAUCCCAAUAUGAUCCUCAAAAUUGACCUUGAAAAGGCCUUUGACAAAAUUGAGUGGGCCUUCAUCAAGGACACUCUCUUAUACUUUAGGUUUCCUGCAAAGCUAUGCUAGCUCAUCAAAUCCUGCAUCACUACUUCUUCUAUUGCAGUACUUGUCAAUGGAAUCCAAACAGACUUCUUCCACCUUUUCAGAGGAAUCAGGCAGGGAGACCCUCUAUCCCCAUACCUCUACAUCCUUUGCAUGGAGAUACUCUCGAGGGGUAUUAAGGUAGAGGUUAAUGCCAAAAGAUGGGACCCUGUCAGCAUCACCAGAAGAGGACCAAAACUCUCCCACAUUUUUUUUAUUGGCUAAAGCUUCUCUCUCAAACUACCACACCAUUGUCAAAAUCAUGACUAUCUUCAGUUCUCUUUCUGGCCAAAUCAUCAAUCACUCCAAAUCCAAAGUCCUCUUCUCAAAUAACUGCUCCCCUGACAAUAGGGCCCUAUGUGCUGAAAUUCUGAACAUUAAACCCUCCUAAUCUUUUGGCAAAUACCUGGGGUACCCAAUUUUCCAUGUCAAGCCCAAAAAUAAUGAUUUCUAAUUUAUUUUAGAUAACAUGAACAAUAGGCUAGCAGGCUGGAAAACCAAAUUCCUUAAUAUGACUGGCAGAACUGUAUUGGCUAAAUUAACCCUCGGUAGUAUCUCCACUCAUAUCAUGAAGUAUAUUAAGCUUCCUGUAAAAUCUAUGAUCACAUCAACAAGAUCCAAAGAGAUUUCAUUUGGGGUAGCUAUGCUGAAAAGAAGAAGUUUCACAUGCUCAGCUGGGAUACUAUCACCACCCCUAAGGAUAAAGGGGGCUUGGGUCUUCAUAAGAGUGAGCUGAGGAACAAAGCUCUCCACGCCAGCUUGGCUUGGAAACUCCACACUCAUCCAUACAUCUUUUGGAGCCAAGUCCCCCUCACCACAUAUAACCAACAAUGCCCAAGACCUUUCUCCACUACCUGGAAAAUAUCCUCAAGGGCUGGAAAGACUGUAAUAUGGGCAUCAUUUGGAGAGUCAACAGGGGAAACAGGGUUAGGUUCCUUUUUGACAGCUGGAUCCCUCAUUUUGGACCUAUUAGAAACCACAUCCAGGGUCUCCUCACCCCUUAGGAUGCCUCCAUCACCAUCAACCAACUCCAUAACAAUGGAGUCUGGAACCUCCCUCCCCUAUCUAUUGACUUGCCCCAGCAAAUCAAGACCAUUAUCACCACCACCCCCAUCCCUCAAUACUCUUUUGAAGAUGAUAAACCCAUUUGGAGUCUAACUAAUAAUGCCAUCUUCAGCACCAACAACAUGUACAACCUGUUAGUUAGCAUGGGAAAAAACACAUCCAUUACCAGAGACUUCAAGCUACCAUACAAGGCUAUCACCCCUAAUAAAGUAAAAACAUUUCUCUGAUUGAUGCUGCAUAAAAGACUCCCCACAAAUGCUUAUUUGCACCACAUUGGCCUCCAUAUUCCCUCUCAUUGCCACUUUUGCCAAGGACAAGAGGAAACCAUUAAUCAUAUUUUCUUCACAUGUCCAAAUGUCACCCUUUUCUGGGCUGAUAAUUUUUAGAAGGCCAACUUAAAAUCUAUCCAAAUCUGGUCCACCUUACCUGAAAAUAACUGGGAGUUGUCCUGGCAAGAGCUUAGAGGAAAAACUUUUAACAAAAUCCUCAAUUGGGACGUCCUCUUCCCCCACUGCCUUUGGACUAUUUGGCUUAGCAGAAAUAAUAACAACUUCAACAACAAAACUGACCACAUAUCAGCCCAGCUAGCAAUUUCACUAGCCACUAAAUACUCUCUCCUCGUUACUAACCAUCCUUCUCCUACUCAUGAAUCCACAACGAUCACCACUAGAUGGUACCCACCACUAGAGGGCUACCUAAAGCUUAACAUUGAUGGUUUUGCUUUGGCAAACCCAAGGAAAAGGUGGUAUUGAUGGAGUUAUUAGAGAUCACGAAAGCCAAUGGAUUCUAGGCUUCCACAUGCACCUACUUUUCACAACCCCUCUGAUGGCUGAGCUGCUAGCAUUGCGGCAUGGCUUUGCCAUUCCAAAAGCCAACAACCUCAGGCCCAUCAUUAUAGAAACCGACUCCAAUACUAUUAUUCAUAUGUUUUUUAAUGAUCAUCCUUCCUAUCAUAACAUAAUUGUCGAGUGUAGGUCUAUGCUACAGGACAUGCAGGCAGCAGCACCAACCCACAUCUUCAUGGAGCAGAACACAGUAGCGGACACCAUGGUCAAGAAGGAAGCUGAAAGCACCAAUACGGCAUCCGCUAAGCUAUUUUGGCAAAUCCCCCAUUUUGUAAUCCCUUUUGUACAAGCAGACAUGGAUGCUCUUUUAGUCCAUCGUAAAAGUACCAUUGCUUCGAUUAACCUACAGGGUCGGGUUGUGGCCCUGAACAUUUCAACUGAAGCUCUCACAACUGUUGAAAGUCUAACUCUCCAACCACCAUAAAUUUCUUAAUGAAUGCAUCUUAUUGACCAAAAAAAAAAAAAAAUUAAUGGGUUCGUGUGAAAUUAUUUUUAAAAAGAUUUUUUUUUUUUUUUAAAUGUCAAAGUAUCGCUAGCAAUAAUGGCUACAGCCUACAAGCAUAUUUGUCAAAGGGCUUGUUUUUUCACAGCGGUGUCUCUUUUUUAAUUUAUUUAUCUUAUUUUUUAGUGCAUUAAAAUUAAUAACUUUUUUCGAUAAUUUGUUAAUUUCAAUAAAAUUACAAAAUAUUUUAGGAUGUUUCAUAUAUUUUAAUUUAAGAAUAUAAGAUAAAAUAAUAUUUUUAUAUUUUCAAAUUUUAUAUCAAGUCAAAAUCACAUGAAUAAAUUAAAACGGUUGAGUAAUUAUUAAGAGAUUCAUGACUUUAUCGGGAAGAAGUGGUUCAACAUUCAAACAUCAAUCCUCUAUGUCUCUGUCCCUUCCCAUCCAACACAAAUUAACGGUGUUAAAUAAGUAUAUAUUAUAAAUUUCUUCAUUAAAAGAACUUUAGGAUGGGUACUUCUUUUAUUAAUUGCAUAUGUAGAAAAGCUUUUUAGUUUUUGUGAAAACUUCUUUCAAGCAAAUUCAUACACCGAGUAUUUGCAUAUGUUUUUCUUGAAGGUUGGAAUGCUUUCGUUUGAUGAGGAGAAAAAGAAAAGGACAUUUUAGUAUGACGGAGUAGUAGUAGUAGUAGAGUAGUUAUUGAUAUGAGAUUAUGAGUUAUGGUGAAAUCGUGGAAAUUUCUAUAUUUAUAAUUAGAGAUUUCAAGUUUGAAUUUUUUUUAAAGUGAAUUCAUACAUAAUACAUAUAUCUAGUGAAAUUUUAAAAAAAAGUACGUUGAUUAGUUGAAUAAACGACGUGCACGAUUUGAAAUUAGAUGGGAUAUGUAUCACUUCUCUGUUUUCUGAAUCUCUUCAAAAAUUUACAAAUAUUUUUAUUUUAUUAUUUUUUAUCAACAGAUAAAGUAUGUGUCACAUAUUCAUAAUUCCCAUAUGUAUUAGUUGCACCACUUCUAAACAUGCUACCCUCCCUAGUUCGUAGAAUUUCUUGUAACUAGUAUAUAAUUUUGUAAAAAAAAUUAUUUUGCCCAAUUAAAUAUUUAAAAGAUUUUUUUUCUUACAAAAUAUAUUAAGCGGGUGUUUGAUGGUUGAUUAUAAAGUGAAUUACUCAUGUAUUAAAAUUAAUAUAUGACUAGUGCUAUCAUGUUUGAUAGCAUUUUAGUUGUUAUAUGUAUAAAAUUUAGUUUACAGUUCUGCAUAAAUUUUGCACAAAUUAUCUUGGUAUUAUACUAAUACAUGCAUAACAUUACCAAGCAACUAAAUCCUUAAAUAUGGUCAACUUCUCAUUUGAUGCGUUUCUAAAUAGUGUAUCUGUUGAAGUGUUAAUCAUUCAUUGUAUAGUUAUGUAUGUAUAGUAUGGAACAUAUACACUUAGAUGAUUCAGUUAGUCGGUUAGUUAGUCGGUUAAGUUAGUUAUUAGAUAAGACUCUAUAUAAAUGAAGCAGUUGUACUCAUUCAAUUCAACUGAAUAAUGAGAAUUCAAGAUUCAUUCACUCAUCAUCUACGUGAUCAAUCUCUUUUACAUCUGAUAAUCUCUUUCUUCCAUUAAUCUACUACUUGAAUACUCAGAAUGUUCAGUUAAGAACAUGGUAUCAAAGCCACACAGCUUCGAAUUAUUAAGCUGAAGUUGAUCAAAUCGCUUUUCUCUCUUCUCUAUUUUCCGCAAAUCAAGUUGUUUCACAUUUCUGGGUAGUUCAAGAUUCUAGAGUUCUUUGAUAAAGAAUGGGAACUAGUGAAGAUCAUGCAACUCAGACGAUGAAUGGACUCAAUCAGUCCACAAAUUCAAACACAAAUUCAAUACAAGUGCUUGGUAUGGAUCAUAAUCAUCCUCUAUUUUUACAUUCAACUGAUGUAAGUGGUAUGUCCAUAAUCUCAUUUCAAUUAACUGGAACUGAAAACUAUACCUACUGGUAUAGAUCUAUGAGAUUAACAUUGCUUGGUAGAAACAAGCUCGGCAUAGUUGAUGGAACCUAUAAGAAAGAAGAUUUUCCUGAUAAUUUAGGAUAUCAAUGGGAAAGGAUGAAUGCGAUUGUAUUAACUUGGCUUAUGAACUCUGUUGCUAAAGAUCUUCUUAAAGGUAUUGUGUUUGCCACCAGUGCCCAAAGUGUGUGGGAAGAUCUUAAAGAAAUAUUUGAUCGAAUUGAUGGCUCAAGAAUCUUUAGCUUGCACAAGGAAAUAGCUACGCUAAGUCAAGGUACUUCAUCUGUUGUUGUCUACUAUUCAAGAAUGAAGGAUCUCUGGGAAGAAUUUGAGGCCUUAGUGCCGGCACCUGGAUGUACAUGUAACAAAUCAAGGGAUUAUGUUUAGUUUUUGCAGAGACAAAAGUUGUUUCAAUUCUUGAUGGGUCUCAAUGACACAUACUUGCAAGCAAGAAGUCAAAUUCUACUUAUGAAUCCUUUUCCCUCUGUCAAUCAAGCCUUUUCUAUGAUCAUGGGUGAUGAGAUUCAAAAAUCUGUGAUUCAUGAAAAUUAUGGACCUAAUAUUGCAUCAAGUGUCAGUAACUUUAAAAAUGUUGCAAUGUAUGUCAAAGGAGGUGCAAAUCAAAAGGGCAAGAGGAAUUACAAUUUGCAGUAUGACUUUUGCAAAAUCAAAUGGCACUCUAAAGAUCAAUGUUGGAAGUUGAUUGGAUAUCCCAGUGACUACAAGUUCAAGAAGAAGAAUGGAGGAGGUGUUAACAAUGCUUACAAUGUCAUAACUGACACAAAUGAAGGUUCAAACUCAGGUUCUCAAGGUGUACAGACUUCACAGUUCUCUUAAUUUCAGUAUGGCAUAAACACAAAUGUUAAUUCUAAAAAUAUGAGGUCUGUCCUGCAUAACUUGAAAGUCAGAAAUAACUCUACUCAGCCAACAACGCAACCACGUCUACAUUAUGUGAAUACCUUCACACAAGACCACUAUGAGCAGAUCAUUAAGAUGUUGAACAAUACAACAGUGUCCAACAACCUCCCCUCAUCGGCAAACACACAGGUAUAACAAUCUCUGCCUUGAAUUCGACUACUCUUGAUAACACUACUAUGUUAGUCCCAAAUAAAAAUAAUAGUACUCAUAUACUUGCAGAACAUGCUAAUGGAUGGAUAAUAGACAUGACUGCAACAAACCAUAUGAUAUUUGAUACAACUCUAUUAAAUAAAGAAUAAAUAGUCAAAGCUGAUAUUCCUAAGAGAGUGUUUCUUCCUAAUAGUGACGUGUCCCAUGUUCUCCACACUGAAACUAGUUCAUUAUUUGCAUGAAACAACAUAAUAAAUAUGUUUCAUGUGCCUCAUUUCACACAUAACUUACUAUCAGUAUCCAAACUAAUCAAAGAAUUGAGGUGUUUUACUACAUUUUAUCCUGAUUUUUGUGUAUUUCAGGAACUCUUCAGUGAGAGGGUAAAGGAGAUUGUUAAGCAAGUAAAUGGACUAUACUGGCUACAUAAACAACCUCUAGAAAGGAACAAGAGUGUAUGCUUGGCUACUAAUAAUACUCAAUCAGAUUCUAACAUUGAACUUUAGCAUAAGAGAUUAGGACACAGUUCCUCACCUGUUUUAAGGAAGAUUUUUCCUGUUAAUAUGCAGUAUAUGAGGUUAACAAAUGUAAUACGUGUCCUUGUGCUAAACAAGUAAGGAAUCCUUUUCUAAGUAGUAAUACCUCUACUGUAAGUAUCUUUGAACUAGUGCACAUUGACUAGUGGGGUCCUUAUAAAGUGGCUACUUUUGAUGAAAAUAAGUUCUUCUUAACUAUAGUAGAUGACUAUUCAAGGAUGACAUGAACUUUUCUAUUAAAACAUAAAUUUGAUGUAUGUGUUUGUCUGCACCAUUUCUUGAAUUUUAUUUAAUGUCAAUUUGAUAAGAAUGUGAAAAUCUUGAGAUCAAAUAAUGGUACAGAGUUUAUCAACUCUGUAUGUUAUGAAAUGUUUAAGUCCUUAGGCAUUAUCCAUCAAAAGAUAUGUCCUUAUACCCUUCAGCAAAAUGGCAUUGCUAGGGUAAACACAGACAUAUUUAAGAGGUUACUAGAGCCAUCAGGUUUAGGGAUGUUCAUGGGUCGGUUUGGAUCGGUUAUUGGUCAAAACCAUAACCAAACCAACUUAGUCGAUUUUUACCAAACCAAACCAAAUAAAAAAAACCGUCGGUUUGGUUCUAAUCGGUUUAGUUCGGUCUGAUUUGUUUUUUUUGAUUUAUAAUUAACUUUAGCUAAUGAUAAAAAUUAAAAAUUAAAAAAAAAUCCAAUCUAACAUAUAAGAUGUUAACUGAGUGUUGUAUCUCAACCCUGAAACUAAGAUGUCAACUGAGUGUUAUACUUCGGCAAAGCUAUGAACAACACCAUAUGAAUGCUUCUAAAAAAAUAUUUUAAAACUACAUUUAACAGAAUGAUGUAAUAAACCCCCCAAAAGGUGAACACAUAAACUUCUUGUUCAACAAGGUUCAAAAAGAAAGUUAAAAUUAAUGAUUGUCUAUAGUCAAAUGAAUUUCAGCUAUAAAUUUCAAUAUACAACAAGAUAUUAUUUUCACAAUUAGUAUAAAAAAAAUAUAUAUAUAUAUAUAUAUAUAUAGGUUCGGUUUGGUAUUUUGUCGAUUAUUUUAGAGUAAAACUAAACCAAAUUAGUAUCGUUUUUUUAAAAUUCAAAACCAAACAAAAUCAAACCUAACCAAAUAUCAGUUUUUUUUAAUCAGUUUGAUUUGGAUCGCGGUUCGAUUUGGUUAAGAACCAAACUAUGAACACCCCUAAUCAGGUUCCAAGCUAAAAUACCUCUCAAAUAUUGGGGACACUAUGUUCUUACUUCUGUAUAUCUCAUUAAUAGAUUACCUAGUUCAGUUCUUAGAAAUAAGUCUCCAUAUGAGGUUAUCUAUAAUAAGAAGUCUUCCUUAGCUCACUUAAAAGUAAUAGGCUGCUUGUGCUAUGCAAAAAUAGCACAAGAACAUGAUAUGCUAUUACCUAGAGCCAAGGACACAGUCCAUAUGGAUUACUCAGAAGUUCAAAAGGGAUAUUUUUUACUUGAUUUCACUGACUCUACUUUCUUUGUUAGCAGAGAUGUUUCAUUUAGAGACGACAGUUUUCCUUUCAGUAAUGUAACUUCUGCAAAGCCUUUAUUUGUGGACAAUUCUCAAAAUCCUGGUAUGGUAUUUGAUUCAGAAGAUAUGUACGUAUCUAGUCCUAUCCAAACAUCUACCAGUUCUAUCAGUGUUCCUACUACAACUGCGAUUCAACAAGAAGCAUAUGUUUUUACUACUAGCUCACAGAAUGCUCCUGAUCAAGCUAUUAUUCCAGCAUCUGAAGUAAGAAGGUCUACAAGAGCCACUAAUCCACCUGUGCGAAUAAAGGACUUUGUGUCACUCAAUGUGCAUAAUAAGGCGUCUUAUCCUAUUAGUAAGUAUAUCUCUUAUGAUAACCUAUCACCCAAAUAUCAAGCAUACAUAGCUGCCACCUCAAAUCUAGUAGAACCUACUACUUAUACUCAAGCUGCAAAGGAUCCAUUGUGGGUAGAACCAAUGAAGCAAGAAAUACAAGAUCUUGAAAAUAAUCACACAUGGGAUAUUGUAUCUCUGCCUCAAGGUAAGUCACUUCUAGGAUGCAAGUGGAUAUAUAAAAUUAAGUAAAAAGUUAAUGGAGAUGUAGAAAAGGACAAGGCUAGAUUAGUUGCUAAAGAAUAUAGUCAAAUUAAAGGGAUUGGCUACCAAGAAACAUUUUCACCAAUUCUGAAAAAUGUGACAAUUAGGACCAUAUUGUCUAUAGUAGCUUCAAAGCAUUAGUGUAUACAUCAAAUGGAUCUAUACAAUGCUUUUUUGCAAAGAGAUCUUCAUGAUGAAAUAUAUAUGUAACUUCCUAAAGGAUUUUCCAGUCAGAGGGAGAAUAAGGUGUGUUGUACACUAAUCAAAUCCUUAUAUGAUCUCAAACAAGCAUCCAGGCAAUGAAAUGCCAUAUUCCAAGUUAACAGAAACAUUAUUGCAGUUUAAGUUCAGACAGAUUCAACUUGAUCACUCAUUGUUCACUAAAACAAGUAAUAGAGGAAUAACAGCGGUGUUAGUCUUUGUAGAUGACAUGUUAGUAAGUGGUAGCAGUCUGGAACUGGUUGAAGAAACCAAAAAGUACUUAUCACAAGCUUUCAAGAUGAAAGAUCUAGGUGAAUUAAAGUAUUUCUUGGGUAUUGAAUUUCCAAGGUCUGAUAAGGGAAUACUUAUGCACCAAAGAAAAUAUUCUCCGAAACUUAUAUCUGAAUUAGAUGUGUUUGCAGCUAAACCUUUUGCUACUCCAAUUGACACAAAUGUUAAGCUAACCAGCAAACAAUAUGAUGAAGAGGUCAAUAAAAACAAAGGGUCAAGAAACAAUGAGGAAGACCUUUAGUUGAACCUGGUCCUUAUCAGAGAUUAAUUGGGAAGCUGUUAUACUUAACCAUCACAAGACCAAACAUUUCUUAUGGAGUUCAGAGCUUAAGUUAGUUUCUUCAAAGUCCUAAAAGGUCACACAUGGAAGCAACUAUCAGAAUUGUGAAGUAUAUUAAAACUUAACCUGGUCAAGGAGUGCUACUGUCAGGUGAACCUAUAACUAGUAUCAUUAUAUAUAGUGAUGCAAACUGGGCAGCCUGUCCUCUAACCUGGAAGCCAGUCACUGGAUUCCUUAUCAAACUUGGAGAUUCUCUGAUCUUUUGGAAGUUCAAGAAACAAUCUAUUGUCUCAAGGAGCUCUGCUGAAGCAGAAUAUAAAAGCAUUGCAAUUACAACUGCUAAAUUAAUCUGGAUUCAAGGUCUUCUAAAAGAAGUAGAGGUCAAUGUUCAAAUGCCUAUAGUACUCUAUAGUGAUAGCAAAGCAACUAUUCAAAUUGCUGCUAACCCGACAUAUCAUGAAAGGACUAAGCACAUUAAAAUUGACAUCCACUUUAUCAGAGAGAAAAUGCAACAAGGACUGAUCUCAACCAAAUAUCUCUCCACUCAACAUCAACCUGCUGAUCUCUUUACCAAAGGCUUAUCUAAAGUACAACAUCACUAUCUCUUGUCCAAGUUGGGUGUUCUGUUCAUUUUUUAGUGCCCAACUUGAGGGGGAGUGUUGAAGUGUUAAUCAUUCAUUGUAUGAUCAUGUAUGUAUAGUAUGGAACAUGUACACUUAGAUGAUUAGUUAGGUGGUUAGUUAGUCGGUUAAGUUAGUUAUUAGAUAAGACUCUAUAUAAAUGAAGCAGUUGUACUCAUUCAAUACAAUUGACUAAUGAGAAUUCAAGAUUCAUUCAAUCAUCAUCUACAUGAUCAAUCUCUUUUAUAUCUGAUAAUCUCUUUCUUCCAUUAAUCAACUACUUGAAUACUCAGAAUGUUCAGUUAAGAACAGUAUUCGACCGUUUAAGAAAAGAAUCCUAUAAUUUUCUAAAUAAACAUCUUUAGUGAAGAUACUGGCUCCACCGUUUCCAAGGACGGGCUGCAUUCGUAGCACAACAGUUGAGUAAUAAUUAGAAUGCAAAAAAUGGAUUAUAGUGAAUUAUUCAUUGCUCAUUUUUAAAUGAUUCUCAACUCCAUCUUAAUUAACCUAAUAAUCAUAAUCUUCCCAACAACAGUUGUUUAAUCUGAUGAUAAUUUUAAGCUUGAUUGGUAUCUUCUGUUUCAGUGAACAUACUUAUCAAUUCUUUUAUGUACUGAUUAAGACGUGGCAACUUGACCUAAUAAAAUCAAAUUAUAAAAUUCUGUAAACCUCAAACUUAAUUAAUAAAAUUUCAGCCACCAUCAAUAAAUUAAACUUGAGAAUUGAGAUUCUUUUAAGUUUUAAAAAAUGCUAUGAACAUGACUCUCAGACAAAGUCUUCGUCAUCAAACAUGUAUAUCCAGAAAACAUAUCAUGUGACAAUUAUCUUGUUGGAUUGAAUUUUCUGUCAUAAAUGAAUUAAGGUUUGUUAGGUACAUAUAAAAAAGUAUUUUUAAGAAAAUAAGUAGAUUUAUUACUUAUUUUUUGUAUUUGUCUGAAUUUUAAAAGUAUGUGUAUAUAAUCUAGACAAAUACUAUGAGAGAUAAGAGUGAGAGUCGAGUUGUGGGGUGGUGGCAAUGGAGGCUAUAGGAUAAGCGAUGAGGUACAUUGGAGGGUGCAAAUUAAGAGUACAAUUAAAUCAAUGUGAAAUGAGAUUGCGAAACUUGUUUUCCCUAGUUGCAGCAAAAUCAUUUGUAUUAUUUUAAAAAAACUUAAUUUCUAGAGAAAACAUUUUAAUUUCAAACCUUUUUAACCUAAUUAAACAUUAAAGCUUACCUCAAUUUUAUUAUUAUUAAAAAGGAAAAGGUUUUAUUUUCAACUGGGGCACAGGAGCACAUUUUCGUUUUCGCUUUACUGUAGGGGUUCUGUGGUGUUGAUUUUAUACCAUCGUAUUUCUCAGUCUUUUUCUUUUAAUGCUUUGACCUGAAGCGAUAUCUUUUAGCUAGUUGAGUGGAGAAGAUGACGGCGCUCCAGCUCACUCAAGAAUGGGACGACAGUGGCCCGCCGACAAACUCAUUCUGAUAUUGGACGUAGUACAUUAGAAACCUGAAGCUCCAUCAAUAAAACCGGAAGAAAAUAUUUUCCUCCUUACGGUACCCACCCUAGCAAAUUUGUUUAGAAGGAAGGAAGCAAAAAAUCAUGAAAAGGUAAUCGACAAAAUUUAUUGUCUUAGGAAAGAGAAUCAUUUAAUUAUUUUUUAUUAUUCGAAAGGGAUGAUAAAUUGAUAAUAAUUGAUAAUUAAUAUAUUACUGAAAUCUCUAGAUUCCUUAAAAGUAUAAUUGCAUAUAAUAUUGUCUUUGUGGAAGUUUAUUUUCCACAACAAAAAGAUUGGAAUGUGAGGAAAAUCAAGAAGGAAAAAGAAAAAGAAAGACAAACCAAAAGAAUAAUAGAAUGAGUUUUUAAACAGCAAUUAAUAAUUAAUUAAAGAGUAUAAAUUUCUUUGCAUGAAUUAAAUUACUUAUAAAGUAAUUAUAAAUAAAUUUUCAUACUAUAUUGACAACUAACAUGUUAAAAAUAAGUAAAAAGUUUUACAAUAAAUAAACCUACAAACCACAAUUGUAGUACAAUAUUUGUCUCAUCAUCAAUAUUCAUAAUUUUAAUCAGUCAAACAUGAUAGUCGUUGAUUUUUAAGCAUCUUAUUUAAAAUUGUCGAUCGGUAUAUUGAAAUUACUACAUACUUCACGCAGAUAAAUAAAAGGAAACGACGAUUUUUUAGACUAAACCUAUUCAUCAUUAGAAGAAAAUAUCUUCUUCAUUUUAAACUGAUUUAUACGGAUAGCUCGAUCUGUUAUGCUUCUGCUAUGCACGAGAUAUGGAGAAGAGGCAAAUCACAAUGAUGUAUUAACAUUUUAAAACUAAUUUAGGAAGAAAAAUAUCAUUAUCCGUUUCUUCUUUUUUCCUCUUUUACCAAUAUCUUAAAAGAAAAUGAUGUUUUAAAGUGAGCCUAGCUAGUAACCUUUUAUCUGAUGGACAAAAUUCGUACUAGUAGUAUAGUAGGUUGACUUCAUUUAAGUAGUGGUAAAGCUGUUGUUACUAAUGCAUGCAGUUAAAAUGUAGUAGUACUAAAUUGAACAGAAAAUUAAUUUUACCAUCAAUAGACAUACGGCAUGAGUGAAGGAUAAGUAGAUGAGGAUAAUUAAAGUGAACAAUUUUUACUGUGCAAGAAUGUUUAAUGUCAUUUAGUUGAUACCUACCAAUAGUGACAGGCUGGUUUAACCCGUUACUUGUUUGGUGUGAGGUAAUAGGGAAAAAUAGUCGAUCUCGUGAAAAAAUGAACGAUUAUUUUAUCCUAUAUUUAAUAUAAGGUAUUAGUUAGUAUCGAGAUUAUUUAUCUCGCCAUUUACACCAUCAUAAUGGAAUAAGUUAUUCAUAUACAUGGUGUGAUGGGAUAACUAAUUUCAAAAUUAUAUUAAUUAUCCCAGAAUAACUAAUUCUCAAAUUAAUUAUUCUAUGAUAACUCUUUUUCAAUCAAACGAUCUUAGGAUUCUAUCCGAUGUUUGAUAGCCGCUUUAAAGUCCCUUACUAAUCCUAAUUCAUAUGCUGGAAAACUUUAUUUUGAGGAUAUAUUGCUCCUUAAUAAAAGAUAAUUCUAUCACCGAGUUAAUUCCUCAAAACAUCCCACUAAAGUAAUUUUUGUUUCUUUUAGGAUAAUAUUGUCACUGAACUAUGUGUUUCUUUCCAUUAUAAGGUAAAACUAAGAAAUUG
rnacentral:lncRNA from 1 species